UGGGGAAUAUUGGACAAUGGGCGCAAGCCUGAUCCAGCCAUGCCGCGUGUGUGAAGAAGGCCUUUUGGUUGUAAAGCACUUUAAGCGAGGAGGAGGCUACUUGGAUUAAUACUCUAGGAUAGUGGACGUUACUCGCAGAAUAAGCACCGGCUAACUCUGUGCCAGCAGCCGCGGUAAUACAGAGGGUGCGAGCGUUAAUCGGAUUUACUGGGCGUAAAGCGUGCGUAGGCGGCUUCUUAAGUCGGAUGUGAAAUCCCUGAGCUUAACUUAGGAAUUGCAUUCGAUACUGGGAAGCUAGAGUAUGGGAGAGGAUGGUAGAAUUCCAGGUGUAGCGGUGAAAUGCGUAGAGAUCUGGAGGAAUACCGAUGGCGUAGGCAGCCAUCUGGCCUAAUACUGACGCUGAGGUACGAAAGCAUGGGGAGCAAACAGG
rnacentral:rRNA from 2 species